GUUCCAGGCGGAACUAAAAGUUGAAGCUGCACGUUUCUGGCGGACCUCUUACGGAAAGAGACCUGUAGUUUUUCACAUCUUUCCACAAACCAGCUGCAGAAACAUGAACGUGAACCAGGGGACGGUGGGCAGCGACCCGGUCAUUCUGGCAACGGCUGGAUACGACCACACCGUCCGGUUCUGGCAGGCCCACAGCGGGAUCUGCACCAGGACCGUCCAGCACCAGGACUCUCAGGUGAAUUCUCUCGAAGUCACACCAGACCGAAGUAUGAUUGCUGCUGCAGGUGAGUUCAACCUCACC